GAAUCAACGCUGGCGGCGUGCCUCAGACAUGCAAGUCGAACGCGAAAGUCCCCUUCGGGGGACAAGUAGAGUGGCGCACGGGUGAGUAACACGUAGGUAAUCUACCUUCGGAUGGGGAAUAACAACCGGAAACGGUUGCUAAUACCGCAUAAUGCAGCGGCACCUAAUGGUGACAGUUGUUAAAGCGGGGGGAUUGAAAGACCUCGCGUCUGAAGAGGAGCCUGCGGCGGAUUAGCUUGUUGGAGGGUAACGGCCUACCAAGGCGACGAUCCGUAGCCGGCCUGAGAGGGCGGUCGGCCACACUGACACUGACAUACGGGUCAGACUCCUACGGGAGGCAGCAGUCGGGAAUUUUGGGCAAUGGGCGAAAGCCUGACCCAGCAACGCCGCGUGAAGGAU
rnacentral:rRNA from 1 species